GACGAACGCUGGCGGCAUGCCUAAUACAUGCAAGUCGAGCGAACAGAUGAAGUGCUUGCACUUCUGACGUUAGCGGCGAACGGGUGAGUAACACGUAAGGAAUCUACCUAUAAGCGGGGGAUAACAUUCGGAAACGGGUGCUAAUACCGCAUAAUAUCUUCUUCCGCAUGGAAGAAGAUUGAAAGACGGCUCUGCUGUCACUUAUAGAUGACCUUGCGGUGCAUUAGUUAGUUGGUGGGGUAAUGGCCUACCAAGACAAUGAUGCAUAGCCGGCCCGAGAGGGGGAUCGGCCACAUUGGGACUGAGACACGGCCCAAACUCCGACGGGAGGCAGCAGUAGGGAAUCUUCCGCAAGGGGCGAAAGCCUGACGGAGCAAUGCCGCGUGAGUGAAGAAGGCCUUCGGGUCGUAAAACUCUAUUAUAAGAGAAGAACAAAUUGUAGAGUGACUGCUACAGUCUUGACGGUAUCUUAUCAGAAAGCCACGGCUAACUACGUGCCAGCCGCCGCAGUAA
rnacentral:rRNA from 1 species